rnacentral:rRNA from 1 species
GUGGCAGCAGUCGCGGUAAUACGUAGAAGACUAGUGUUAGUCAUCUUUAUUAGGUUUAAAGGGUACCUAGACGGUAAAUUAAACUCUAAAUGAGUACUUUUUUACUAGAGUUUUAUGAGAGAAGGAAGAAUUUCUGGAGUAGAGAUAAAAUGCUUUGAUACCAGAAGGACUGGUAACGGCGAAGGCAUCCUUCUAUGUAAAAACUGACGUUGAGGGACGAAGGCUUGGGUAGCAAUAAGGAUUAGAUACCCCAGUAGUC